UACGUAGGCAGCAAGCGUUGUUCGGAAUUACUGGGCGUAAAGAGCGUGUAGGCGGCCUGGAAGGUCAGCUGUGAAAACUCGAGGCUCAACCUCGAGACGUCGGUUGAAACCACCUGGCUAGAGUCCGGAAGAGGAGAGUGGAAUUCCCGGUGUAGCGGUGAAAUGCGCAGAUAUCGGGAAGAACACCCGUGGCGAAGGCGGCUCUCUGGGACGGUACUGACGCUGAGACGCGAAAGCGUGGGGAGCGAACAGG
rnacentral:rRNA from 1 species